rnacentral:rRNA from 1 species
UAGGGUGGUUUUAGCGGUGGGGCUCACCUGUUCCCAUUCCGAACACAGAAGUUAAGCCCACCAGCGCCGAUGGUACUGCUAACGCGGGAGAGUAGGCCGCCGCCAGUUUUUAUUUUAUUUUUAAAAUCCUUUAUCUUAUUGAUAAAGGAUUUUUUUUGCUUUAUACCCAAGCAGGGAACCCUAAACUCAUACAUAAUGAGUAAUA